GACGAACGCUGGCGGCGUGCUUAACACAUGCAAGUCGAGCGGAAAGGCUCCUUCGGGGGUACUCGAGCGGCGAACGGGUGAGUAACACGUGAGUAAUCUGCCCUUGGCUUCGGGAUAGCCACCGGAAACGGUGAUUAAUACCGGAUAUGACAACUUCUCGCAUGGGAUGGUUGUGGAAAGUUUUUCGGCCAGGGAUGUGCUCGCGGCCUAUCAGCUUGAUGGUGAGGUAAUGGCUCACCAUGGCUUCGACGGGUAGCCGGCCUGAGAGGGUGACCGGUCACACUGGGACUGAGACACGGCCCAGACUCCUACGGGAGGCAGCAGUGGGGAAUAUUGGACAAUGGGCGGAAGCCUGAUCCAGCAACGCCGCGUGAGGGAUGGCGGCCUUCGGGUUGUAAACCUCUUUCGGUAGGGACGAAGCGCGAGUGACGGUACCUACUAAAGAAGCACCGGCCAACUACGUGCCAGCAGCCGCCGUAACAC
rnacentral:rRNA from 1 species